GCCUGGCCUUAAACCUAGGCACCAGGAUACAACAGGUGCCCGCCUGGGGACUACGGGCACUAGCCUAAAACCCAAAGGACUUGGCGGUGUUUCAGACCCCCCUAGAGGAGCCUGUUCUAGAACCGAUAACCCUCGUUUAACCUCACCGCCUCUUGUCACCACCGCCUAUAUACCGCCGUCGCCAGCUUACCCUGUGAAGGACAUCCAGUAAGCAGAAUGGGUAUUCCCCAAAACGUCAGGUCGAGGUGUAGCGGAUGGGGCGGGAAGAAAUGGGCUACAUUAUCUGAACCAGAUUAAUCAAACGGAAGGUCCUCUGCAAUGAGAACAUGAAGGUGGAUUUAGCAGUAACGGGGGAAUAGAGUGCCCCCUUGAAGCCGGCUCUGAAACGCGCACACACCGCCCGUCACUCUCCCCAACACACUCACGUUCGAGUUAAUAACACCCUUCAGGCAAAAAGGGGAGGCAAGUCGUAACAUGGUAAGUGUACCGGAAGGUGCACUUGGAAUAAU
rnacentral:rRNA from 1 species